CGUAGGGGGCAAGCGUUGUCCGGAAUCAUUGGGCGUAAAGGGCGCGUAGGCGGAUAUUUAAGUCUGGUGUGAAAACCUAGGGCUCAACCCUGGGACUGCAUCGGAAACUGGGUAUCUUGAGGACAGGAGAGGAAAGUGGAAUUCCACGUGUAGCGGUGAAAUGCGUAGAUAUGUGGAGGAACACCAGUGGCGAAGGCGACUUUCUGGACUGUAACUGACGCUGAGGCGCGAAAGCGUGGGGAGCAAACAGGAUUAGAUACCCUGGUAGUCCACGCCGUAAACGAUGAGUGCUAGGUGUAGAGGGUAUCGACCCCUUCUGUGCCGCAGUUAACACAAUAAGCACUCCGCCUGGGGAGUACGGCCGCAAGGUUG
rnacentral:rRNA from 1 species